rnacentral:tRNA from 2 species
GGAGUCGUAGUUCAGUGGUAGAAUAUCGGAUUCCAAUUUUGGAAGCAUCCGCCGGUCGCAGGUUCAAUCCCUGUCGACUUCA